AAGAAAAUAAUUUUUUACCGAGAGAUUUCCGAGUAAAACAAUUCCCUCGGUAAUUACCGAGGAAUUCCCGAGAGUUUAGCGAGGGAUAGCGCGUUUCAAAAUUACUGACUAAUUUAUCGAGUAAUUUACCUAGUAUUCACUUUACCGAGAGAAAGUUUCUCUCGGUAAUGCAUAACUGUAAGUUUUAUUUAUCCACAUUAAUCGAUUUCUUCCUCAUAUUCUCUCCCCAAAAAUUUAAACCCUAGCUCCGUAGCUCGCUCCUUUCGAUUUCGCCGCUCACUGGCCACCCGCCGCCCGUUGCUACUCCGCCACUCAUUCCCACUCUACCACCUCGUCUCUCCGCCGCUUCCCUGUAACAGAAAAGAUUCUCUGGAAUAAUUCAGAGAUUAGAGAAAACUUCAAGUUCUAUUUGAUUAUUUGAUAGACUUUGGAAGACAAACAAUGAUCCUUCAAAGCAUCAAGCAUUUUAUGUAUUCAGGGUAUUGCUUUUGGAUGAAAACUGCAGCUUUUCUUCUAAUAUAGCUUAUGCGAAAUUGCAAGUCAGAUAAGUAGUUUCUGUUUAUGCUGUAGUUUGUAUGUUAUUUGUAUUCUAUUUAGGUUUGUUUGGUCUCAACUUUUGUUUGCUUGUGGAAUAUUGCAGGUAGCUCAAGAAACUGAAACAGAAUCAAACUUUCAAAAUGAUCUUCUGAAUCAGUCGGUAUGCCAUAAACUAUAUUUAGCAUUUUGAACUAAUUCUUUGAGAAAAAGAAUUGACUUCUCUGACUUAUGAUCACAU